ACGGAAUAGCCAUUAGAAAUGGUGGGUAAUACUGUAUAAUCCCCGAGGGGGAAAGAUUUAUCGCUAUUAGAUGAGCCUACGUUAGAUUAGCUAGUUGGUGAGGUAAUGGCUUACCAAGGCUAUGAUCUAUAGCUGGUCUGAGAGGACGAUCAGCCACACUGGAACUGAGAUACGGUCCAGACUCCUACGGGAGGCAGCAGUGGGGAAUAUUGGACAAUGGGCGAAAGCCUGAUCCAGCUAUGCCGCGUGAGUGAAGAAGGCCUUCGGGUUGUAAAACUCUUUCAAUAGGGAAGAUAAUGACGG
rnacentral:rRNA from 1 species